rnacentral:rRNA from 1 species
GGGACGAACGCUGGCGGCGUGCCUAACACAUGCAAGUCGAACGGGACCAGGGGCAACUCUGGUUCAGUGGCGGACGGGUGCGUAACACGUGAGGAACAUGACCUUCGGCGGGGGAUAGCCGGCCCAACGGCCGGGUAAUACCGCGUACGACCACUUUGGGACAUCCCUGGGUGGUGAAAGCAGCAAUGCGCCGAUGGAGUGCCUCGCGGCCUAUCAGCUAGUUGGUGAGGCAACGGCUCACCAAGGCGACGACGGGUAGC